CACCGAUGGCUAGGUCAUAUAGGAAGAAUGCCUUGCCACCUAAAUUGUCCCUUAUUUUCUAAAGAGGAACUUUAUCCAACAACAUGGACCUUAGCUUCUCUCUGCCCAUCUUUCCCUUCCUCCUCUCUUGCUCCAUUUCGGCAUCUUAGGAUGGCUUCGACGGCAACACCGACGACACCAUUGCCACACUACAAGGAGCCCAUGCCUGCAGGGCCUCAACGUGCAUGGCUCGGACCGAUCGGAUCAUUCAUUGCAGUAAUCGAAGGCAACUUGUUUCACCAUCAAAACAGGCUCCACUUGUGAACCUUAUUAUAGGAUGCCCAUCCCUGCAAUACAUUAAUAACUUGUCAUGGCAUAUCUUUAGCUGGAACAUAACCAGCAACUUUUCAGUUUAAUUGUGAAGUAACAAAUGGCAGAAUUGCAGGUUUAAAUGUAUUAUGGAGGUAUAUGAACAUCUAGUCC